rnacentral:rRNA from 1 species
AUUGAACGCUGGCGGCAUGCCUAACACAUGCAAGUCGAGCGAGCGGCGGACGGGUGAGUAAUGUAUGGGGACUGCCCGAUAGAGGGGGAUAACUACUGGAAACGGUGGCUAAUACCGCAUACUAUCGGAUAACCCAUAUGGGAUUAGCUAGUAGGUGGGGUAAAGGCUCACCUAGGCGACGAUCUCUAGCCGACCUGAGAGGGUGAUCGGCCACACUGGGACUGGGACACGGCCCAGACUCCUACGGAGGCAGCAGUAGGGAAUCUUCGGCAAUGGACGAAAGUCUGACCGAGCCAUGCCGCGUGUAUGAAGAAGGCCUUAGGGUUGUAAAGUACUUUCAGCGGGGAGGCGUUACCCGCAGAAGAAGCACCGGCUAACUCCGUGCCAGCAGCCGCGGUAAUAC